rnacentral:rRNA from 1 species
AUUGAACGCUGGCGGCAUGCCUUACACAUGCAAGUCGAACGGCAGCACGGGAGCUUGCUCCUGGUGGCGAGUGGCGAACGGGUGAGUAAUAUAUCGGAACGUACCCUAGAGUGGGGGAUAACGCAGCGAAAGUUGCGCUAAUACCGCAUACGAUCUACGGAUGAAAGUGGGGGAUCGCAAGACCUCAUGCUCAUGGAGCGGCCGAUAUCUGAUUAGCUAGUUGGUGGGGUAAAGGCCUACCAAGGCUUCGAUCAGUAGCUGGUCUGAGAGGACGACCAGCCACACUGGAACUGAGACACGGUCCAGACUCCUACGGGAGGCAGCAGUGGGGGAAUUUUUGGACAAUGGGCGCAAGCCUGAUCCAGCAAUGCCGCGUGCAGGAUGAAGGCCU